UACGAAGGGGGCUAGCGUUGCUCGGAAUCACUGGGCGUAAAGGGCGCGUAGGCGGCCGAUCAAGUCAGAUGUGAAAGUCCUGGGCUUAACCUGGGGACUGCAUUUGAUACUGGUUGGCUUGAAUGCAGGAGAGGAUAGCGGAAUUCCCAGUGUAGAGGUGAAAUUCGUAGAUAUUGGGAAGAACACCGGUGGCGAAGGCGGCUAUCUGGACUGUGAUUGACGCUGAGGCGCGAAAGCGUGGGGAGCAAACAGG
rnacentral:rRNA from 1 species